UUUUGUGUUUUGAAUCAACCAUCGAUCUAGCUUAGGUAAAAUUUUCUAUAAUAUUUAAUAUGCCAAAGUCCAAAGCAAACAGCUUAUAUUGAACUAAUGUAUUGGUUAGGUUAGUGUUCGUCUGGUAUGGUAAUACAAGAAAUCUUGAUUUUUCUGCAAACUGAUACGUGCAUAUAAAAAGCAGCAAUCGAUUGCUAGCUUAAUGGAAAUCAAGAGGACCUGAUGAAUUGCUGCCACUCCUGAAUAGCGGAACGAAGAGAGUGGUUAGGGACGAGAUUGAAAUGUUGAAGCUUCAGGUUUGUCAUUGGCGAAGUGUUGUGGCCACUCUCCAGCCAUCCUAUCAGUGCCUCUGCUUCAUAAGUGAAACCAUCUGCUGCCAUAUGAGGAUCUUGCAUCACUUCCUGUAAAAUGGGACACAAGAAAUAUGAGGGAGCCUGUUGACGCCAUAGAGGGCUAAAUUGGAGUGAUGAUUUACCUCCACAAGAUGCUCUCAUGGGUUCAAGCACCUUCCAAGCUUCUGUUGCAAGGUCUGGUCGGCUGCUUCGGUUCAUUGAGCAGCACCUCAAAGCGAGGCGAGCCAAUUGCUUCGCUUGCACAAAUGGCCAGUCCCCAGCUAAGGGAUCCAAAAAGGAACUCAAAGUUCCGUCAUCUAUUGCAUCUCCAAUUUGCUUUGCUAUGCCAAAGGCUGAUCUCCCUGUCAGUAACUGUAACAUUAUAAUUCCAAAUGAGUAAGUGUCUGACUUGGGAGAUAAUUCUCCUGUUGUAAGGAAAUGAGGAUCCAAGUAGAGGAAAGUGCCCUUGGGGUCAGUUUUACGAUAGAGGGUCAUGUUCCUUGAAUUUUCAUGGAGAGAGAGUGCUCGACAGAUUCCAAAGUC
rnacentral:misc_RNA from 1 species